rnacentral:tRNA from 1 species
CACUGUACAGCUAUUAUAGCAUUAACCUUUUAAGUUAAAGACUGGGAGGACAUCCCUCUCUGCGGUGA